rnacentral:rRNA from 1 species
CAGCAGCAGCCGCGGUAAUACGGAGGGUGCAAGCGUUAAUCGGAAUUACUGGGCGUAAAGCGCACGCAGGCGGUCUGACAAGUCAGAUGUGAAAUCCCCGGGCUUAACCUGGGAACUGCAUUUGAAACUGUCAGGCUGGAGUCUUGUAGAGGGGGGUGGAAUUCCAGGUGUAGCGGUGAAAUGCGUAGAGAUCUGGAGGAAUACCGGUGGCGAAGGCGGCCCCCUGGACAAAGACUGACGCUCAGGUGCGAAAGCGUGGGGAGCAAACAGGAUUAGAUACCCGCGUAGUCCCUGUCUCUUAUAC